CUACGGGCGGCACCAGUGGGGAAUCUUGCACAAUGGAGGAAACUCUGAUGCAGCGAUGCCGCGUGAGUGAAGAAGGCCCUUGGGUUGUAAAGCUCUUUCGUCGGGGAAGAAAAUGACUGUACCCGAAUAAGAAGGUCCGGCUAACUUCGUGCCAGCAGCCGCGGUAAUACGAAGGGACCUAGCGUAGUUCGGAAUUACUGGGCUUAAAGAGUUCGUAGGUGGUUGAAAAAGUUAGUGGUGAAAUCCCAGAGCUUAACUCUGGAACUGCCAUUAAAACUUUUCAGCUAGAGUAUGAUAGAGGAAAGCAGAAUUUCUAGUGUAGAGGUGAAAUUCGUAGAUAUUAGAAAGAAUACCAAUUGCGAAGGCAGCUUUCUGGAUCAUUACUGACACUGAGGAACGAAAGCAUGGGUAGCGAAGAGGAUUAGAUACCCGGGUAGUC
rnacentral:rRNA from 1 species